AUCACUCCAAUGGCCAUUAAAGGGUAAGGUCACCUGCCAUGACUCGCCUAAGAGAUUUUGCCAUGAUGUGGCAGGUGAGCUUACACUUGAAUGGCCAUUGGAGUGGUUCUAAAUC